UACAGAGGGUGCGAGCGUUGUCCGGAAUCACUGGGCGUAAAGGGCGCGUAGGCGGCUUGAUAAGCGUGCGGUGAAAGCCCGGGGCUCAACCCCGGGUCGGCCGUGCGAACUGUCGAGCUGGAGCACUGUAGAGGCAGGUGGAAUUCCGGGUGUAGCGGUGGAAUGCGUAGAGAUCCGGAAGAACACCGGUGGCGAAGGCGAUUCUCUGGACCAUAACUGACGCUGAGGCAUGAAAGCGUGGGUAGCAAACAGG
rnacentral:rRNA from 1 species